UACGUAGGGUGCAAGCGUUAAUCGGAAUUACUGGGCGUAAAGCGUACGCAGGCGGCUUUGCAAGACAGGUGUGAAAUCCCCGGGCCUAACCUGGGAACUGCAUUUGUGACUGCAUGGCUAGAGUCUGUCAGAGGGGGGUGGAAUUCCACGUGUAGCAGUGAAAUGCGUAGAGAUGUGGAAGAACACCGAUGGCGAAGGCAGCCCCCUGGGAUGAGACUGACGCUCAUGUACGAAAGCGUGGGAAGCAAACAGG
rnacentral:rRNA from 1 species